GCCAAGAUUACAGUGAAAAAAUUAAUCAAAAUUUCUUAUUAUUACAUGAAGAACUUUACCAUAGAUAAUAUAAAAAAUCAGUUUUACGUUAACACCGCUAGAGGCCAUUUCAAAUACAGACACAAUCCAAAACGGUAUUAUUUGCAAUAUAUAAUGCUACAGGCAAUGGUUACAAUUACAUAAACUGAGAAGUAAAAUGAAACGUAAAAUUGAUACUAGUUCUAGAAAAAACAAAAAACUUAGAUAUACAGUUCACACUAAAUUAAUAAAUUUCAUGGCACCUAAUGAUCAAUCACCAUAGGCAGAUGAAGCUUAACAAGAUUUGUAUAAUUCAUUGUUUGGGAAAAAAAAUAACAUAAUAAUGAGUAAUAGAGGACAUUGGGGCACAUUUGAAUGUAGGGUAGUUUUGAAUUGAUUAAAUACAAUUAACUGUAGUGAUAAAGUUAAUUCAAGUAAAAUACAGAAGGUUAGUCAUACUGUACCCAAUAUAUAAUAUGUUCAUCAGCUAUCUGUUAUUAAUAUUUUCAUUAUUACAAAUAAAACUGUGUUUUUGAA